rnacentral:lncRNA from 1 species
GGGCACAGCGUGAGGGCCGCCGUUGCUGGAGUUCAGCUUAGGGAAGGAGGACUCUGAGGAGGCCCCGAGCGGCGGAGCGCUUCGGGGGAGGCGCCCGCGCAGACGCGAGGCCCAUAGCCAGGACCACCACCUAGCUGUUCUACAGUCUGGGGACGACGGUUUAAAAAUUUAUGCCUUGCAUGCGAUGUGCAGUGGGUGAUGGAAGAACGUCUACAUGGCUUUAAAAUUGGAUUUAAAAGGCAAAUAUUUUAAAUGAAGGAAAACCCAAGAAGUUUACUUGAUUCCUUAUCUUCCAGGAUGCGACUUUUGUUUAUUUAUUUAUUUUAUUUUGAUGGAGUCUCGCUGCCGUCGCGCAGGCUGGAGUGCAGUGACGCGAUCUUGACCCGGGAACCUCCACCUCCCGGGUUCAAGCGAUUCUCCUUCCUCAACCACCCGAGUAGCUGGGAUUACAGGCGUGUGCCACCAUGCCCGGCUAAUUUUUGUGUUUUUAGUAGAGACCGGGGAAGGUAUGGGCCCUCUUUUGAGAAAAAUGCAGAGUGACACUGAAUUUUGUAACUACAUCAGGAGGCUCUUGAACCUUCUGCAGCUCACUCGUGGAGUUUGUAGAGAUGCGUAAUAAUCCGAAGUGUUAAGGAAGAAGGUUCUGUUGAGAAAAAGUUGGAGGGCUGAAAGGGAUGCCUUUCGCUAUUUCGACAUGUGUGGCUGUACCCCAGAGUGCCCUGGCUAACACGCAAAACCAUGAAUUAGGCGGCUUGGCGAGGCUCAGUGGAGGCUGGGGCCGAGAGUCAUGUCAAAGUUUGUGGGGUUAACCUGCACCCAGUGACAGUCAUGGCGAAGUUUGUGAGGUUAACUCGCACCCAGUAACGCUGUUCCAAUGCAAGGUGUGUAUUUGGUGUCAUCCACGGGAAGAGGAAACAGCAAAUUUUCUCAUGGCCUUGGCAGUUCCACAUGAUGGACAUUUCAUAUCUGCAGUUUUCUUCGCAUGAGAUGGCUUUUUUGCACAAAAACACUGGAAUCCAGUGAGCAAGAAUGAUAGAAUGCAAGAUGGAUUUCCACAUGAGGAAGUGUCACGAACAAGCGUUUUGCAUCUCUGUCAGCUGGAUUCCCCCAUGUGGAGAGACCCACCGACCCUGUGGGGCUGGUCCCUACAUCUGGCGCUCUGACGUGGGGCUCUCCCUCGCUGUGUGAAGUUGCACCCUGAGUGCGGGAUCAGCGGAGGAGUUCAACGAGAGAUUCCUGAGGAUUGCAGUCUAUAAACUUGGUGGAAAAGAACUACAGCCUGUGUGGGUCCCCUCCCGACAAUUAAAAUUGCACCAUAACUCCAAAGAUGAAACGCUCCCAGAAAGAAAAGGCAAAGACCCAUCGGAAACAAAAGAGCAACUUUCACCGCCUGAUACAUACACUUCAUGACAUCCACAUUGAGACAAAAUCUCGCCGUGUGACCUACAACACCUCUCGUUCAACCCCACCUACUUGGGGUCGAAUACAGAUUUUAUCUCAUCAAACAGAAAAAUUCUUAACAGAAAAAGGAAUCCCAAAAAUGACUGGUAAUAUAAUUCUGGCUGCCUUUAUGGUAGUCAGUGCAGCGUCUGCAGAUGCCUCUAAGGAGUCCGAAACCAAGUCCGAAGUCAACAACAAGCAAUGAUGGCGAUGGCGAUUCUAGUUAAUAAAAAGGGGGGAGAUGUGGGCGGCAAGCCACCCAGGCACCGAGGCAAGAGACAGAGGACACGAGCUGUUCCAGUAUAAUAAAAUAUAAAACAAGAAUAGUUAUACCAGAUAUAGAUCUUAGAUAUGAUUAUAUACGAAUAUCAUUAAUCAUGAGUUUGUAGCAAUUACUUUUUAUUCCAAUAUUAUGAUAAUCCUCGCUCUAUAAUCAUAGCCUAGGAAAAACCAGGCCAUACAGAGAUAGGAGCUGAGGGGACAUAGUGAAGUGUGACCAGAAGACAAGAGUGCGAGCCUUCUGUUAUGCCCGGACAGGGCCACCAGAGGGCUCCUUGGUCUAGCGGUGACGCCAGCGUCUGGGAAGACACCCGUUACCAGGCGGAUCGUGGCCCAGCCGUAGCAAAAGGUGUCAAGGAACACCUUUUGCAAAAGGUGUCAACACCCGCUACUUAGCAGACUGGGAAAGGGGGGCGGUCUCCCUUUCCCCGGGGGAGUUUAGAGAAGACUCUGUUCCUCCACCUCUUGUGGAGGGCCUGACAUCAGUCAGGCUUGCCCGUAGUUAUCCGGAGGCCUAACUGUCUCCCUGUGAUGCUGUGCUUCAGUGGUCACGCUCCUAGUCUGCCUUCAUUUUCCAUCCUGUACACCUGGCUCUGCCUUCUAGAUAGCAGUAGUAAAUUAGUGAAAAUACUAAUAGUCCCUGAUAUGCAGAAAUAAUGGCAUAAGCUGUCUUUCUCUCUGUCUCCUCUCCCUCUCUGCCUCGGCUGCCAGGCAGGGAAGGGCCCCCUGUCCAGUGGACACAUGACCCAUGUGACCUUACCUAUCAUUGGAGGUGACUCACAUUCUUUACCCUGCCCCUUCUGCCUUGUAUCCAAUAACAGCGCAGUCAGACAUUCAGGGCCACUACCGGUCUCCGCACAUUGGUGGUAGUGGUCCCCCGGGCCCAGC